AAUUGAUGGUCCUUCAGUAGGUUGGAAGACAUUUUUUAGACAACAGGAAGCUUUCAGCUAUGCCAGAAGAAAAUCUUCAGUAGGUUUUAUGGUUUUAUAGAAGUAAGAAGAUAUGACAUGAUUGCCAAUGAGACAACUCUCCACAAGAAACCAAAUGACACAGAAAUUAACAAUUAUAGGGAACCGUACAGCCUUCAACAAUAAGGAAAACCAAUAACACAUAGUCAGCUUUAAAAAAAAAAUGACAAAUGAUAAAAAAAGGUCUUGAUAUCUCUUUAUCAUUUCUUUAUUUUACUAAUAUAAAUCUACCUAUAUAUUAAUACAAAUGUGUAAUAUGUUGUGAUUUGUAUGAAAUGGGAUCCAUUUACUCUGUAGCCUUAUUUUUUACUUGACUAUAUGUGAAGACUUGACAAAUUUGACAAGAUUCAUUACUAAAUGUGCCCAUUAUUACUUUAGGGUAGGCAUAUUUACUUUUUAAAGGCACAACAAAUAGAGUUGAAGUUAAACUCUGAACAAAAAAAAUGUUUUUACUUGGACUGUAAUUGCAAUGAACAAGGUUUUUCUUUUGUAUGUUUUUUAAAAGCAAGUUUCUGUGAAAGUCCAAUUCAGUAUAGAGGAUAUAAUGGUACAUGUAUUGGUAUACAUAUUUAUUUUUUAGGAUCUUCAUGUAUUUUCCUAUGAGAGUGAGAGUUUGGGAUCAGAAACUGGACAAAGGAUGUUUUUAGUGGCAUCUUAUCCUGUAUUCUGGCAUUAUUAUAGGUACAUUAUCUAGUUAGGAUCUUCCCCUGGCAUGCCUAUUUGUAAAUGUAUGUGCUGUAUGAAUACAGUAGAACGUGUUCCUAUGCAUAGGUGUAUACACUUAUAUAUUUUACAGUUACAUGGGUUUCUUGCUAUUGGUAUAGUUGUCUCACUGGCAAUUAUACCACAAUUCUUUUAUUUUAUAUUUUAUUUGUGUGGUAUCACAUUAUGAUUUAGAUAUUGAUACUUCACUUUAUUAACCAACUUACUACAAUAUGUAUAGAAAUGCCCAUGCUUUAUAAAAGGAAAAUUUCGACAACUGGUCAUUAUGAACGGAGAAAUUGCUACAGCCAGUCAUUACGAAAUAUCAGUCAUGCAUUACGAAAUCAUACCCGUGCAUUACGAAAUCACAGCCAUGCAUUAUGAACAGAUGAAAUGGGAUAUCAAUUAAAUGUUGUUUAUUUCUUUAAAUAAGUGACAACUUUUUAUAAUGUUUUAUUUUAACUUAGUAUAAAAAAAGUUUAAUUUAGUAACGGCUUGAAACGGAAAUAUUUCACAGCCUUUUCGAUUACGACUUUCGAUUAUUAUCACUGUUUCAUUUCCGUUGAUCAAUCGAACGCAGACUAGGUCGCAGAAAGAGUAAGAAUAGUUAAACUGUCUGAUUUAUUCUUCCCAGCUACUUAAUAUUUGCUAGAUGAUAUGAAUUGUAAUAGCAUAGAAUUGAGUACUUGGAUGAGAAAUCAGAAAUUACUUCCGACAAUGUUGGCCAUGAAUCCAUCAUGAAUGCGAAAAGACAAGUUCAGCUAUGAAUUCCUGUAUGAUGUAUCUUCUUUACGGUAAGAUUCUUACUCUUUGUUUAAUCGAAGAAUUAAAACCUUUUACUAAAAGUGUUAUUAACUGGCAUUUUCUGUAUUGGUCCUGUUAUAAAUUCAUGGUUUAAUAGUUGUAUUUGGAUCAAGACUUGAAGACUGUUCUUGAAUGGACUUGAUUGAAGUUGCCUUAUAGUUGGUUAAUAAAAGUAUCAAUAUAUGGACUUUUUCAUAUUGGCCCUGUUAUAACGCAAAUAUUUGUUUUAUCGGCGUUGCCUCAGGGCCAUUACAACCAUCCUUGGCCAUUAUUAAUACCGCGGGCAUGUUACAGGGCCAAUAUGAAAAAAUCCAUACAUUAAUACUAUAAUAAUUCAUUGGAUACUAAUUUCCAUUGGUAUAAGUGAACCACAAAUUUAGAUGUCCAACAUACUACAAAUUUUCUAUAGGUUUGGCAUGGGUUGGUAUGUAUAUCAGUGUAUGUGCAUUUAUUUAUUAAUUUGCCUUGUGUUUAGCUAUGGCUCUACCAUAUGAUAUUGUUUGAGAAAAUUAUGAUAUGUCAUUAAAAUAAAUUUCCUACCAUACCAAUGGAUUACAAAAAUAUGUUGACCUUUUCCAGGCAGUUAGAUGAACAAAAGAAGACACAUUAUGAAUUGAUACCAGAGGGUAUGUAAUAUAGACAACAUUAGGGUAGUUCCAAUAAAACAUACAUACAUAGGAUUUCAUAUAAUUGCUUACACCCACUUCAUUUGAACUUUGGUGUAGUGUUGUCUCAUUGGCAAUCAUACCACAUCUCCUUAUUUUUAAUAUAAGACCUUUGGAAGACAAAAUGGAAUGAAUGCCAGAUAUAUAUGUCUGUUUGGCUAGUUUAUCUGACCUUGACCUCAUUUCCAUGGUAAAUUGGUCAUGGUUUAGUUUUCAUGGCAAGCCUGAAAGUCUGUUUCUCGUGUACUAUGAGUAUUUAAUAGAUCAGCUAUAUUUGGUUUAUGAACAAAUUGUAUUGUGUACAUGUCAUACUUGUUUACCUGGCAAAUUCUUAUAGUCUUGACUUCAUUUUCACGGUUUAAAAGACAGUGCUAUGUUUUCAUGCUUAAUAGAUAUAAGAAGAUGUGGUAUGAGUGCCAAUUAGACAACUCUCCAUCCAAGUCGCAAUUUGUAAAAGAAAACAUUUAUAGGUCAGAGUACGGCCUGCAACACAAAAGCUUUGACUCAUACCAAACAGUAAACUAUACAGGGCUCCAAAAUUACUAGUGUAAAACCAUUGAAAUAGGAAAACCAACUGUCUAAUCUAUAUUAAAAACGAGAAACAAGAAACACUGAUGAACCACAUUAAAAAACCACAACCACUGAACAUCAAGUCCAUUUCUGAGAUAGUGAAAUAUUGCAAAUUAGAAAUAGAAAUUGCAAAUUGCAAAUUAGAAAUAGAAACACAAAAUAGACAUUUACUGCUACUGAUUACAACAAUAUGAUUUGUCUUUCAGGAUCAGUCUGUAAGCUCUAUUUUGAUUUAGAGUUCCCUAAAGAAAAUAAUAGAAAUUGUGAUGGAAGAGCGAUGACAGAUAUUUUUAUAAAGGUUAGGAUUUACAGCUCUUAUUUAUAGCGAAAUCUCUAAUGAAAUUGGGAAUGCAAUGUUUCUUUUGUGUCUUCAUUGUGUAAAAUGUUUAUUUAAUACAUAAACGUUAAACCAUGAAAUAAGAAAAUCUUGCAUUUUAAUCUUGAUAACAGAUAUUUAAAAAUAGGUUGGCAGUAUGCUUGGAUGAGACAAUAACCAAAAGACAACAAAAAACAACUAUUGAUAGAUUUAGAGAUUGACCACACACCUUCUAGCCAGUUCUAGGUGGAUUAAAAAUCCUAUUGCCUAUGAUUAGUAAUUGGAAAACAUGAUCAACUUGACACAAAUCUGUAAAUUAAAAUUAUGUGUGCUUCACAGUCAAAAAAGAGUAGUACAUAAAAUUAACAAUCUCAGCUGGAACAUUGUGUUAUAUGACAGGUUAAUUAUGAAAAGUCAAGGUCAUGAGAUCCUUAGUAACAAAAUGAAUACAAAAACAAGAAACAAUACCAUUCUCUCCAAGUAGCCAUGAAGUUUUUUAAAUAAUUUAGUAAUGAUUUGCAACAUGUUUCUGUAUUUUCCACUAAAAGGGACAUCUCUAAAAGAUAUGAAAGGAUUCUGGUGAGCACUGUAAAGGUUGCAUUAUUAUUCAACAAUUGUAUGUCUUUAUUGAGUAUUUAGAUAAUAUUGCUAUGUUCCUAUCACUUGUCAAAUGUUAACUAUACAGUGCUAUCUAAACACCUUUUUUUCGUUCAAAUUCGAAUCUAUUUUUAUUCUAGACGUUUAUUUUUCAGUAUGUUACCAGUUGGAUGGAUGAAAUCUUCAAAGUCAAGUGUUCAAAAGAACAUGUACUAAGUCUGGAUGCAAG
rnacentral:lncRNA from 1 species